rnacentral:miRNA from 1 species
UUGGCGGCCAUGGCGGUCUCGG